UACGAAGGGGGCUAGCGUUGCUCGGAAUCACUGGGCGUAAAGCGCACGUAGGCGGACUCUUAAGUCAGGGGUGAAAUCCUGGAGCUCAACUCCAGAACUGCCUUUGAUACUGAGAGCCUUGAGUUCGGGAGAGGUGAGUGGAACUGCGAGUGUAGAGGUGAAAUUCGUAGAUAUUCGCAAGAACACCAGUGGCGAAGGCGGCUCACUGGCCCGAUACUGACGCUGAGGUGCGAAAGCGUGGGGAGCAAACAGG
rnacentral:rRNA from 1 species